rnacentral:rRNA from 1 species
GGGACAAGCCCUGGAAACGGGGUCUAAUACCGGAUACGACACGGGGUCGCAUGACCUCCGUGUGGAAAGCUCCGGCGGUGAAGGAUGAGCCCGCGGCCUAUCAGCUUGUUGGUGGGGUGAUGGCCUACCAAGGCGACGACGGGUAGCCGGCCUGAGAGGGCGACCGGCCACACUGGGACUGAGACACGGCCCAGACUCCUACGGGAGGCAGCAGUGGGGAAUAUUGCACAAUGGGCGAAAGCCUGAUGCAGCGACGCCGCGUGAGGGAUGACGGCCUUCGGGUUGUAAACCUCUUUCAGCAGGGAAGAAGCGAAAGUGACGGUACCUGCAGAAGAAGCGCCGGCUAACUACGUGCCAGCAGCCGCGGUAAUACGUAGGGCGCAAGCGUUGUCCGGAAUUAUUGGGCGUAAAGAGCUCGUAGGCGGCUUGUCGCGUCGGAUGUGAAAGCCCGGGGCUUAACCCCGGGUCUGCAUUCGAUACGGGCAGGCUAGAGUUCGGUAGGGGAGAUCGGAAUUCCUGGUGUAGCGGUGAAAUGCGCAGAUAUCAGGAGGAACACCGGUGGCGAAGGCGGAUCUCUGGGCCGAUACUGACGCUGAGGAGCGAAAGCGUGGGGAGCGAACAGGAUUAGAUACCCUGGU